UAUUCCACUGAAUGGAGUCCUUCAGCAAGAACUGCUUCAGAGCUACUUCCGCUUCCAGGCGAUAGUAAAGAUGAUGAUAACAAUGAUAACAACGUAACUGCAAUUGCUGCAGCUUCUGCAGCUGCUUUUGUUUUCACUAUCGUCUUUGUGGUGCUAAUAACUCUUUGGAGAAGAAGACGUGCUAUUGUUCAAGAGCCUAAAUCGCAUUUGCAAUCAGAACAUGAGGAUAGGAAUGGACAAGAGCUGUCCGUUAGAA